UUACCUGAUGGUGUAGCAAAGGGA
rnacentral:miRNA from 1 species